rnacentral:misc_RNA from 1 species
GUCUGUUUGAGUGUCACAAAAACGUGUUUUGUUGACGGCUGUCCCCAGAACGGUGGACUCUGUCUGAAUAUAGUCAGUAAUGUCGUGGACUACGACCAGCCCGAGUGCUAAGCAUUCUUGGUCUGGACGCAGUUGCGACUGGCAGUAAUGCCAUUCUCUACUAUGGCCUCAAAUCAGGCAGGAUUACCCGCUGAACUUAA